AUCUUCCCCCUAUUUGUGUGCAAAUUCAUCAGUAAUAAAGUAUAAACGAUUAAAUUUUCAUCAUUAGACUUGAUUUUUCUUGCAUAUAUUGCUCUUUUAUUUAAUGAAUAUGAUUUAAUUACAAAUAACUUCCAAAUUGAAUUUUUAGAAUUAUAAGGUUUUGAGUUCUUUCAAAAUACUUUUCAGGAAACUUUAGCCAAUCUGGAAAGACAAAUAUAUGCCUUUGAAGGUAGUUACUUGGAGGAUACGCAACUGUAUGGGAAUAUCAUUCGAGGCUGGGAUAGAUAUUUAGCCAGCAACAAAAAUACCAACAGUAAAUCUGAUAAACGAAAUAGAAAGUUCAAAGAAGCUGAACGACUAUUUUCAAAAUCUUCCAUCACAUCUAUAGCCGCUGUCAGUGGGUUGGCAGAAAAUUCACAGGAAAAAAGUAAGGAUGUGAACGGAUAUUGAUAAUUCUAGACUCACAGUUACCUGUAGUCAUUAAUGAUUUGACACCUAUGACGCUUUUGUUCUAUUUGCAUAGAACCAAUUUAAUGCACUUGCAUUCUUUUGUAUAUUUCUCAUUGAUUGCUUAAACCAAAUAUUCAGCUUGGUACUUUUGAUUUGUUAGGAGUAGAGUUGUAAAAAGUAUUCAAGUUUGUCAAUGUUUGACAAAAUAAUAUAUCUAUAUAAUUUAUAUGCAUGUUAGUAGAUAUAUACAAAUACUUUGUUUUUGACUUUAUGUUAAACCACAAUUUAUUGGUGCUUUAUAAAUAUGUCUUCUUGAAACUAUGAUUUUUCGAAUGAAUUUUAUUUUCUAACAGAAUUGCAUUGACAUAAUGGUGGUAGUUAGAAUUUAAAUUUAAACGAAAGUUUCUGACUCGAAAGAUUUUCGUGCUUUUUGAAAUCUUAGCAUUGGGUAUUGUAAUUUAACAACCGCACACUAUAAUCUAUGUUAAGAUGAUUGAACAAUCUAAUUGUUUAUGUUCAAGGCAAUGCUUAAGCUGUGUAAAAAUUAAAAUUUUUAAACCUGUUAUCUGGGAUAUUAACUUAAUGUUUUUCUAAUUGAAUCGGUUGUAUCACAAAGAAUACAAAGGUUACAAUACAGCAAUUUAGAAAAAUACUCAGUAAAUGUCUCAGAUAAUAGGUUUGAAAGUGUUUAUUUUUAUCAUGGUUUGACAUUCCCUUCAAAUGAUUUAUAAAUCAAACUUGAUGUGAAGAGCUAAGCUAUCUCGUACAAAACAUUCUUAAUUUCAUUCUCAAAAAUUGUACUUGUAAUAAUUUUCAUAGAAAUUUAAAAUCAAAAACUAUUUUUUAAAUAAACUUUCAUUAAAUUUUAAA